UAAAUAGUUUACACCAGCUGACUAACUUGUCAACUAACUCUUGAAUCGCUGUUUAAAAGUAAAUUCACAGCUCUCAGGAAACGCUCUCUCAAAGUUAUGAACAAACAGGAAUGUUAACAGAACGUUCUUUCAAAGCUAACACGAAAACUGUAUUAUUUAUACACCGUUCAUGGAAUGUUUUGUUUCUGAAACAAUCUAACGUUUUUUUACAUGUUGCUACUUGUUUCAGAACUUUCAAAAGUAACAUUGUUUGCAGAAUGAUGUAAUGCAAUGUUCCAUUAACAUUCGUAUGUAACCAAGAAAGUUACAAAUGUAGGUGAUAAAAACACCGCGGGAAACUUUGUUUUGAAAUGUUUCUAGAAAAUUUCUUUUAUGAUUAUAAUGAUAUUUAAAGCAGUCAUAACUCACACAGUUUGUGCCAAUCUCAUGUGAAUCUAAUGAGUGUGUGGUUUAUCAGAUUUAUAGAAGACAGACAGCUUUAGCUUCUCUCUGGUUGAUGUGUUUGCUCAGAAGCGCCUGUACAAGGAUCCCCGCCCUUUAUGACGUCAGACAGGAGCAUACCCCAAACAAAGCUUACACAAACCCUGAAAAAAAGUUGCAAGACAUUCUGCGAGCUUUACUUUAAGACUGUUUAUCCCUGCCGUGUGUGUAAGGUUAGUGUGGGACUGAUGAGCAAACUCUCGAGCAGAUGUAACGCAGACGCCAGCCCUGUGCUGUGACGUCACGUCGAGUCCGAAUUGAGAGGCUCUGGUAACGAGGCGCUCUCGGUCUCGGUGUUGAUUGGUCAGCUGUUCUGAGAGCCUCCACCCCUCCCGCAUCAGCACCAGGUCAGGUCACUAGUUCACUAGUUCCAGCGGCGCUCACUAACUAGUCCGGACAGAGACAUGGGCAGCGCGAGCGCGAGCGGGAGCGGGAGCGGGGGCGCGUGUCCGCGGCACUUUGCGCUCUUCUGCUCGGUAGUUUUUGUGCUCAGCAUCUUCUUCUCGUCUGCUGGGCUCGGCUCUGUUCAGCACUCUGUGUGGAGCACACUGGAGGAAUCAGGAGCAGGAGCAGAUUCAGAACGUCUUCAAGAGGUUUCUCUUUCACUAUUCUAAAGCACACAACUCGGCGGGAUCCGUCGAGAGAGAGUCUCACUCGGUUCAUCCGCUCAUGCGUCUCUCGCCGAAGCUCUCUCUGCGCAGGAAGAAGCAGCAGAGAAGCUGAAGAGAGUUUGCGGCGUGUCUGGACGACGUAUUCGAGACGUCUUCUGUCCGUAUCUGGGAUCCUCUGCGGCUCCGUAACGCCUCAGACGUGUUAAAGCUGCACUAGUGCUGCAGAUGUUUAAUAAACGUAACCUCAAGCUUGCUGAUGGUUGAUGU
ensembl:lncRNA